UCCACUUGCAAUUUAAUAAACUGCAGUUCAAAAUCCCUUUUCCACCUGCAAUUUAAUAAACUGCAGUUCAAAAUCCAUUUCCCUUUCCUGUUCGCUCCGGGAUUAGCUGCUGGAUUAGCUCCUGGAUUAGCUGCUGGAUUAGCUCUUCGAUUAACAACUUGCUGGAGGCUAUUCAAAUUAGCCACACCGUGGGAUGUAAGGAGCUCUCUGAUUGGUUGGUCAGACACAGGCUGUCUGCCAGCCUGGAUUUUUCUAGCUCAUAGCUUCUCCCUGCUAAGAAGCGUGUGUGCUUGUACAAAGGCCGUUCAGCCUCGGGAUUUACACUCGGCUCGACACGGAUAUGUGAAGAAUGAAGGGACCCUGCAGCGAAACGGAGAGCCCAACCUCUGACUGAGUACUUGUUUACGCAGUCUGACCACCUGUUGAAGGGCUAUUUGAUGACGAUAUGAACUCCUCUGGGAGAUGAGGACACACCCACAUCUGUUCCAUACUGCAGCCAUUGAUGGUGUUACAGCUCUGAGGCAGCUUUGGGCCAUCAGACGCACACACUGGAAAACCAGCACCUGGACUUCAUGCAGGAGAGACGGCCUCAGUGAUUUAGAAUUAAUCAGCAGCUGUGGAGAGAUGCAUUUGAAUAUCUUCUGGUUCCACUUUUCCUAACCUGGAAGCUGAGGAUGGCUGAUUUCUGACAGGGACACACACCUCAGCGCUUAUCA